rnacentral:rRNA from 1 species
CGCAUCUGUGCAUGCAGCAUAUCAAUAAGCGGAGGAAAAGAAACUAACAAGGAUUCCCUUAGUAACGGCGAGCGAACCGGGAUAAGCCCACCAUGAGAAUCGGUCGCCCUCGGCGUUCGAAUUGUAGUCUGGAGAAGCGUCCUCAGCGGCGGACCGGGCCCAAGUCCCCUGGAAAGGGGCGCCGGAGAGGGUGAGAGCCCCGUUGUGCUCGGACCCUGUCGCACCACGAGGCGCUGUCGGCGAGUCGGGUUGUUUGGGAAUGCAGCCCCAAUCGGGCGGUAAAUUCCGUCCAAGGCUAAAUAUUGGCGAGAGACCGAUAGCGAACAAGUACCGUGAGGGAAAGAUGAAAAGAACUUUGAAAAGAGAGUUAAACAGUACGUGAAAUUGUCAAAAGGGAAGCGUUUGACACCAGUGUUGUUUUCUCGAAAAUCAAUUAAAAAGAGUUAGAUUUUGUUGUGUAUUGACCUUAACAGCUUGCAUUUCAAUUUUCUUGCUUUUUUUAAUGCACUUUUCGUUUAACAAGUCAACAUCAGUUUCUUUUGUUGUAAAAAGGUCAUUGGAAGGUGGCUUUCUUUUCGGAGAAAGUGUUUAUAGCCUUUGACUCCUGCAAUCGGAGAGACUGAGGUCUGCAGCGUAGAUCCUUCGGGGUUAGAUACAUUUGUGCUAAGUUAUAGCUUUUUAUAGACAACUUGUUGACUAUGAUUAGUCUUGUAGCUUACUCGCUUAUGCUAUUUUACCUACGCUUAGGAUGUUGAAGACUCUACAGAGAUA